UGGGGAAUCUUCCGCAAUGGACGAAAGUCUGACGGAGCAACGCCGCGUGAGUGAUGACGGCCUUCGGGUUGUAAAGCUCUGUUAAUCGGGACGAAUGGUUCUUGUGCGAAUAGUGCAAGGCUUUGACGGUACCGGAAUAGAAAGCCACGGCUAACUACGUGCCAGCAGCCGCGGUAAUACGUAGGUGGCAAGCGUUGUCCGGAAUUAUUGGGCGUAAAGCGCGCGCAGGCGGAUUGGUCAGUCUGUCUUAAAAGUUCGGGGCUUAACCCCGUGAUGGGAUGGAAACUGCCAAUCUAGAGUAUCGGAGAGGAAAGUGGAAUUCCUAGUGUAGCGGUGAAAUGCGUAGAUAUUAGGAAGAACACCAGUGGCGAAGGCGACUUUCUGGCCGAAAACUGACGCUGAGGCGCGAAAGCCAGGGGAGCGAACGGG
rnacentral:rRNA from 1 species